rnacentral:tRNA from 1 species
GCCUGCAUAGCUCAGUUGGUAGAGCAGCUGACUCUUAAUCAGUGGGUCCCGGGUUCGAAUCCUGGUGCGGGCACCA